rnacentral:rRNA from 1 species
UACGAAGGGGGCUAGCGUUGCUCGGAAUCACUGGGCGUAAAGCGCACGUAGGCGGAUUGCUAAGUCAGGGGUGAAAUCCUGGAGCUCAACUCCAGAACUGCCCUUGAUACUGGCGGUCUCGAGUCCGGGAGAGGUGAGUGGAACUGCGAGUGUAGAGGUGAAAUUCGUAGAUAUUAGGAAGAACACCAGUGGCGAAGGCGGCUCACUGGCCCGGAACUGACGCUGAGGUACGAAAGCGUGGGGAGCAAACAGG